rnacentral:lncRNA from 1 species
CCGCCAACGCAGCGCGCCACCCAAAUGCCGAGGCACGUGCGAGUCGACGACGCGCCACCCUCUGCCAGCGGCGUUCGUCGAUAAAAGCCGCGGCGAGGGCAGGCGCGCGCGCGUCCCGGUCGUCGCUGCCAUAGGCACGCUCACUGAAUGGGAAACACACCCAACGCGCCAGCGCGAUAUUGCUCCGGUCGCGUCGAGUGUUGGCUGUCGCAGCUUUGCUAUGCGCUCCCUUGUCAAGAGGAUCGUCGACGCCACCAUCACUUGGCGCGCAUGCGGGACGCGACGGGUCGACGCGCUCGAUCGGAUCAUCGUCGUCGUCGCGUACGACGACGCAUCGACGAAAGGCACGGUGGAUGGCUGCACGUAAAAGCGCUGCGUGUCCAUCGCCGGGCGUAGAGACCAACACACCCACAUGACCCUCUCUCUGCGCGGCGGCCAUUCGUCUUCUUUCUCUCGGCCUCUUCUUUUCGCCCUCUUUUGCGCACCGGCGCGGACCUAACAAGGGCGCUGCUGCGUACGCGCUGCCAGGUUUUCCCUUUGGCAUGCCCGACGCACAUGGCGGACCGACCCACAACGCACAACCACAGGCGCGCCUUUGCCUCCCGGCGCCGUAGUGCGGCACCGCUCGUCGCCUUUUCCUCGCCACCCACCGGGGCGCGCACCUUUACCCAUUUUUUUUCGGUGAGCAACGCAGUAGCAACAUUCCUGCGUGAUUGGUGAGCACCCGCCCACAGGCCUCUCACGAGACAUCAACGCUUUGGUCUGCCGUUUUUUUCUUGCCUUUUUCUCGGUUAUGUGUCAUUCAGCACAAAACAAGCCCCGCUUUGCGAUCUGUGCCUCUGGGCACAAUGAAAGCAGACGAGGGACGCCAACAGACAGG